AGCGAACGCUGGCGGCAGGCCUAACACAUGCAAGUCGAACGAACUCUUCGGAGUUAGUGGCGGACGGGUGAGUAACACGUUGGAACGUGCCUUUUGGUUCGGAAUAACUCAGGGAAACUUGUGCUAAUACCGAAUGUGCCCUUCGGGGGAAAGAUUUAUCGCCAUUAGAGCGGCCCGCGUCUGAUUAGCUAGUUGGUGAGGUAAAGGCUCACCAAGGCGACGAUCAGUAGCUGGUCUGAGAGGAUGACCAGCCACACUGGGACUGAGACACGGCCCAGACUCCUACGGGAGGCAGCAGUGGGGAAUCUAGCGCAAUGGGAGAAAGACUGAAGCAGCCAUGAAGGGUGAAUGAUGAAGGUCGUAGGAUUGUAAAAUUCUUUCACCGGGGACGAUAAUGACGGUACCCGGAGAAGAAGCCCCGGCUAACUUCGUG
rnacentral:rRNA from 1 species